GUACUGAUGAAGAGUCCCAAACUAGAACGAAACGGUUGUCCAGUAC
rfam:Trichobilharzia regenti genome assembly, scaffold: TRE_scaffold0063613